AAGCACCGGCUAACUCUGUGCCAGCCGCCGCGGUAAUACAGAGGGGGCGAGCGUCCAUCGGAAUUACUGGGCCGAAAAGCGCGCGCAGGCGGCGCGC
rnacentral:rRNA from 1 species